rnacentral:ncRNA from 1 species
CUUGUAAAAGGCAAAAUUAGAGCAAUCUAAUGACGCAAAACUACAGGACCUUUAAAGGUAGCCAGUUGCCAAAA